UCCUAUUUUACAUUCUCACCAAUAGUUCACAAGGAUUCUAAUUCUUCCACAUCCUCACCAACACUUGUUUUUUCCUGUUUUUUUUUUUUUUUGACUGUAGAUAUCCUAAUGGGUAAGAGGUGAGAUAUAAGCACAACUUUUAUUCACAUUUCUCUGAUUAUUAGUGAAUUUGAUCAUCUUUUUAUGUGCUUGGAUAUGAGGGUGAUCUGGCUGCAGCAUCUGUCUCCCCUUUGAUUGCCAGUGUUGAUUUGGCUGAUCUGGCUGGCUAGGCAGCUAUGUCCUUCCUCUGUCACUGCUCCAUGUGCGUCCCUCUCGAAGCUGCAUGCUCAGUCAUGGAGGAUGACCAUCCCCGAUAGAGGAAGACAGGACAAGGGUAUAUGAGUAGGAGUAGCUGCGCUCCCCUGCUAGAACCUCC
rnacentral:lncRNA from 1 species